ACCAGAGUACUAUGAAUAUUUAAAGAUUUAAAACUCAAAGAACUUGGCGGUGUUUUAGACCACUCAGGGGAACCUGUCUCGUAAUCGACAAUCCACGUUGUACCUGACCUUUUUUUGUUUUCAGUUUGUAUACCGUUGUCGUCAGGUAACUUUUUAGAAAUUAGAAGUUAGCAGUAAAAAUAUUGAUGAUUUAGUACGUCAAAUCAAGGUGCAGCUAAUAAAAAGGGGAGGAUGGGUUACAAUUAUAUGAUUUAUAAUAACGGAUAAAUAUACGAAUGUAUGUUAAAUUAUAAGGCGGACUUGAAAGUAAAUUGGAAUAUGUAAGUAAUUUGAAUGAGGCUCUGAAACGUGU
rnacentral:rRNA from 1 species